GAAAAAAAGUGCAGUGCCCUAGAUUUACGGAAUCUGCACGUAAUUCUCAAUUUUUGUUCUAUUAUCGUUCAUUUGAUCUUUCUAUAAGAAUGAUCCGAUUCAUACUUCUGCAGAACAGGCAAGGCAAGACUCGUCUUGCCAAAUACUAUGUUCCUCUCGAGGAUUCCGAGAAACACAAAGUCGAAUACGAGGUUCAUCGGUUGGUGGUUAACAGAGAUCCCAAGUUCACG
rnacentral:misc_RNA from 1 species